UACGUAGGGUGCAGGCGUUAAUCGGAAUUACUGGGCGUAAAGCGUGCGCAGGCGGUUUGCUAAGAGAGAUGUGAAAUCCCCGGGCUUAACCUGGGAACUGCGUUUCUAACUGGCAGGCUUGAGUGUGGCAGAGGGGGGUGGAAUUCCACGUGUAGCAGUGAAAUGCGUAGAUAUCUGGAGGAAUACCGGUGGCGAAGGCGGCAUCCUGGACCGGCAUUGACGCUGAGGAGCGAAAGCUAGGGGAGCAAACGGG
rnacentral:rRNA from 1 species